AUGCAGAUCAAAGAAUCAAAACAAGAAAAACUUGAUUUUCAGGGAAUGCCUAUUCAAGCGAUAACCUCCAGAAUUCCUGCUAUUCUAUGCGCCACAAGUAAUAUUUUCAAAGAGGAGCGAGCACAGGAAGUUUUAAUGGGAACCCUUUUGAAUAUUUUCCGAUUGCGAUACUGUGACGAUGAAUUCCAGCGUAUGCUCAGAGCCGUGCAGAGAGAGAAGCAAGAAGGAUUGAAUAUUGGAGGUUGUGAUGAAGAUUGA